GCUGGUCGCAAGCCCGCCCCUACCCGCUAAUCACCUGGCACCGAGCUCGAAGCGGCGCCGAGUCGUUCGCACGCGGAGAGGGAGGGUAGUUAGAGGGCCAUCCUUUUCUGCCGUUAUGGAUUUAAACCCAUAAAGAGGAAACGAGAAACCAGAGGCUCAAAGCUAAGGAAGCUCGCACCUACCGGCUUAACUUCGCACGCCUCUCCAGGAGCCGGGAACCAUCGCCCUUGGGCGCUCCCCGAUGCACGCCGGGAUACGCCUGGCGCCCCUCGGUGUGCUGCAGAGCAUGCCGGGAAAGGCACCUCUCCCGAUCUCCUGGCGCUCACCUCCCGGGCGUUCCUUUCGUGUCCCCUUGAAAGCCCGGUCCUUGGGCUUGGAAUGAGACGGUUUGGGUAAUUAUGGGAGUGUGGCGAGGCUCAUGCCUGCUUUGGUCAGUAGAAUACAGCUGAAGUGAUGUUGUACCAGUUUUGCGUCUGGUCUUUACAAGCACUGGUAGCUUCAACUUUCUCCUUCUUGGUACUCACCCACCAUGUUGUAAGGAAACCCAAACAGCCACGUGGAAGACAGUUCUAGUUGAGCUCCCAGCCCAGAGCCUAUCCCAACUCUCCAGCCAUACCCUGACUUCCUUCAGCAAAGAGACAGCUUCUGAUUCAUGUUCGUCUCACCAUAAUAUACUUCCAAAAGUUACACUAGAUGUUAACUGAGCACUAAGGACACUACGUGAAAGACUGGAGUACAAACAUCCAAAGGACUGAAGAAUUUGAAGAGCACUGAAUGUGGGAGAUAGGACAGAGGAAAGGAGUCAAAUGUCUCCAAGAAACGAAGCCUGUGUGCCCUGGAGAAUGAAGAAGCAUCAUCAAAUCGGGGAGACUGAAGGAGGAAUCGGUUUUCAGAGAAAAACAAUUUAUAUUGUCUUAGCUGUGUUAGGUGGCAUACUAUUACAUUCAAGUGAAGCUGUGUAAUAGACAGAGAUGACAAAUUUUAUUCAUUUAUGAAUGCCCCCCAAAAUAUAUAUAUAGUUUUUGCCCUCAUGUCUCUUAUUGGGAUGACAGACAUAAAUCAAAGAAUUCCAUAAAUAAAUAUUAAAAUACAAUUUGUGAUAAAUGCUACAAA
rnacentral:lncRNA from 1 species